CUCUUAACUAUUCAUUAUAGAAGAUUCCCAAGCACGGGAAGAAGGCUAAUGAAGUCAAAAAGAAACCUUAUAAACACACUCUACUCCCUAUAAGAUCUGCUGAGAUCUUCAAACAUGUAAAAUUCACAUUGCCAAAUUAAGUCACUAUUACUUACAGAACAUUCUAGUUCUAAUAACAUCUUUUGUUUUUUAAGGAAUUAAUGAUUCACCAGAUGAAAGGUAUGUGACUAGGCUCAAUCAUGCAGCGGGUCGUGUUCUGCCAUAUGAACUUCCAGCACUGUUGAAAUCUGAACCGUUAGACUGAAAGUAGGAAACAGCCGACCAGAGCACACGUAAUAACAGAAUUGCUACAAAGACGGCACCACCAAGUGAGCAGACCACCUCAAGAAAUGCCUUCAAGAUGGAGAGUAAAGCCAAAAUUAGAACGCCAUCAACUGCAAAAGUUACAAGCUGUGGAGAAAUGACGUCCGGCAGUAUAGAGCGAGUAGCUUUCCUAGCACGCUUAGAAACCUUUGUGAACAUACUCUGCACAAAUCUAACUAGUAAGUCAAUACUGCUCUCCGUCUCCUCUUCCUCAUCGUUCUCUUCAUCCUCCUCCAAUAAUUCAUCAUCUUCAAAAUUCAUUCGGUACAUCCUUUCAGCUGCUUCUCCAAUCGAUCCAUCAAACUUGGCAUGGCAAAUUGUGAAUCUGGGUUUUCGUAAAGGGAGAGCUAACAAGUGAGAAAUUGGAGAAGAUGAAGUUAUUGAGUAUAAUCUCAAGGAAGAUAGUGAUGAUAAUCGCAGUACGGCAGCUCCCGCCAUUCAAUUUCUGAUAAGAUUGAU
rnacentral:misc_RNA from 1 species